rnacentral:rRNA from 1 species
UACGAAGGGGGCUAGCGUUGCUCGGAAUCACUGGGCGUAAAGCGCACGUAGGCGGAUCUUUAAGUCAGGGGUGAAAUCCUGGAGCUCAACUCCAGAACUGCCUUUUGAUACUGGAGAUCUCGAGUCCGGGAGAGGUGAGUGGAACUCCCGAGUGUAGAGGUGAAAUUCGUAGAUAUUCGGAAGAACACCAGUGGCGAAGGCGGCUCACUGGCCCGGUACUGACGCUGAGGUGCG